rnacentral:piRNA from 1 species
UGAUAGGUGAAUGAAUCAUGACUAACACAGU